GAUGGGCAAAGUCUGCUGACUCCAAAGGGCGAUGGGACACUCUUUAGGAGCCUGGCGGUGUCACUGACCCACAAGGAAAGGAGCGUUACCAUCAGUGUCGGAAUGGAUGACAUCAACAAACUGCGCAUCACUGGGAUCUAAUCUGUCUUGGUGAGGAAGAAAGAAAGAAAGAAGAAAGAAAGAAAGAAAGAAAGAAAGAAAGAAAGCGCUAUACUCAUCUUUAUCCCACUUUAGAUGACCGAGAAACCUCACUCAGCCCUUCCUUUUUGUUGUUAAUAA
rnacentral:lncRNA from 10 species